rnacentral:rRNA from 1 species
UACGAAGGGGGCUAGCGUUGCUCGGAAUCACUGGGCGUAAAGCGCACGUAGGCGGAUUGUUAAGUCAGGGGUGAAAUCCUGGAGCUCAACUCCAGAACUGCCUUUGAUACUGGCGAUCUUGAGUCCGGGAGAGGUGAGUGGAACUGCGAGUGUAGAGGUGAAAUUCGUAGAUAUUCGCAAGAACACCAGUGGCGAAGGCGGACUCACUGGCC